GGCUCUCCUGGUACCAAUGGGGUCAAAGGAGACAAGGUGACUACCCAGGCUCAUCCGCUCUGUGCAUACCUGCCAUCUUAGUAAAAAGGCACCCUUUCUGUCAGUCUGAAUAAAUGUGUGCCAAACUUGUAAAGGGAAUUGAUGUCUUCUCCGUUGCCAGGGGGAAGUUGGUGUUGGCGUUCCUGGUCUCAGAGGAGAAAGAGGAGAUCCGGGACCCAGAGGAGAGGAGGGUCGGGCCGGCAUAGACGGAGAGAGAGGUUCAACGGUAAAUAUUAAGGCGCCCUUCUUUUUUGCAUUUCAGUAUCUCUCACAGUGCUUUUCCUAUUUUUUAGCACAAAGCAUGGAAUGAUGAAAGGAGCAUGUAAGCUUAAGUCUCAAUACUGAUAACAAUUAACAAAAGACGAGCAUUUUUCAUUUCCGGGACUGCAAAAAGAAAAAAAAAGAAAAACUCAUUCAGAGGGUUGUCGUCCUCCUCUGUGGUGUAAUUUCCAAACACCAGCAUCUAUAAUGAAGCCUGCAUUUCUUAGCUGCACACCCCAGUGAGUCAUGGCAUUGUGGAUUCUUUCAUGUCUCAGGGCGAUUUUUUAAUAUUUGGUCAUUUAGCAGAAGCUUUUAUUCAGAGCAGUCGACCAGGUUUGUCACAGUCACACAUCAUUAUUCGGUGCCUAACCAAGAAAAAUGGUGAUAUUGACAGAACCAGGCACCCUGCAGACAUUUAUAUGUUCAGUCAGUGUAUAAAAAGAGUUGAUGUGUGUCUGUUUGUGUGUUUAUCAGGGACCCCCAGGAAGUCGAGGUGCUCGUGGGGAGAAGGGAGAUUUGGGGCCUCAAGGUGA
rnacentral:lncRNA from 1 species